rnacentral:lncRNA from 1 species
AAUUAAAUGAUGUUUAACUAAAUUUCUUAAUAAGCAUAAAAGUAUUUUUUUUUUAUAUAUUUGAGACUAGAGAGUUAAUAGACAAAGCUCACAGUAGGGGUGUAAAUUACUCUAAAAAAAUAUGUUAUUGAGUUUAUACAAAUGGAGUGAACUGUAAUAUUUAAAUAAGUUUGGAGAUUGGAGUUUAGUGUCAUUCAAAUAAAU